GAUGAACGCUGGCGGCGUGCCUAAUACAUGCAAGUCGAGCGAACAGACGAGGAGCUUGCUCCUCUGACGUUAGCGGCGGACGGGUGAGUAACACGUGGAUAACCUACCUAUAAGACUGGGAUAACUUCGGGAAACCGUAGCUAAUACCGGAUAAUAUAUUGAACCGCAUGGUUCAAUAGUGAAAGACGGUUUUGCUGUCACUUAUAGAUGGAUCCGCGCCGCAUUAGCUAGUUGGUAAGGUAACGGCUUACCAAGGCAACGAUGCGUAGCCGACCUGAGAGGGUGAUUGGCCACACGGGAACUGAGACACGGUCCCGACUCCUACGGGAGGAAGCAGUAGGGAAUCUUCCGCAAUGGGCGAAAGCCUGACGGAGCAACGCCGCGUGAGUGAUGAAGGUCUUCGGAUCGUAAAACUAUGUUAUUAGGGAAGAACAAAUGUGUAAGUAACUAUGCACGUCUUGACGGUACCUAAUCAGAAAGCCACGGCUAACUACGUG
rnacentral:rRNA from 1 species